UACGUAGGUGGCAAGCGUUGUCCGGAAUUAUUGGGCGUAAAGCGCGCGCAGGCGGUUCUUUAAGUCUGAUGGGAAAGCCCACGGCUCAACCGUGGAGGGUCAUUGGAAACUGGAGAACUUGAGUACAGAAGAGGAAAGCGGAAUUCCACGUGUAGCGGUGAAAUGCGUAGAGAUGUGGAGGAACACCAGUGGCGAAGGCGGCUUUCUGGUCUGUAACUGACGCUGAGGCGCGAAAGCGUGGGGAGCAAACAGG
rnacentral:rRNA from 1 species